CCUUGAUGACGACUGGCGCACGGGUGAGUAACGCGUAUCCAACUUCCCAUAACUACGGGAUAACCCGUUGAAAGACGGCCUAAUACCGUAUGACANCGUUUGCUGACAUCAAAUAACGAUUAAAGGUUUAGCGGUUAUGGAUGGGGAUGCGUCUGAUUAGCUUGUUGGCGGGGUAACGGCCCACCAAGGCUACGAUCAGUAGGGGUUCUGAGAGGAAGGUCCCCCACAUUGGAACUGAGACACGGUCCAAACUCCUACGGGAGGCAGCAGUG
rnacentral:rRNA from 1 species